rnacentral:rRNA from 1 species
UUUUUUUUNAUUUCUGGCAGGAAGUUGUUGCUGGCUCCCCCUUAGAAAAGGGAGUAUGUGCACGCCUCUUGUUAGUUUCUUCCUUUCUCUCACCUGUGCACUGCCUGUAGACUUUUAAGUGUCUAUGAUAUUUUUUUAUUACACACACACACAUACACUUUUGAAUGUAUUGUAUUGGGUCAAGGUCAUUUUGUACCUUAUAAUAUUGCACAACUUUCAACAACGGAUCUCUUGGCUCUCGCAUCGAUGAAGAACGCAGCGAAAUGCGAUAAGUAAUGUGAAUUGCAGAAUUCAGUGAAUCAUCGAAUCUUUGAACGCAUCUUGCGCUCCUUGGUAUUCCGAGGAGCAUGCCUGUUUGAGUGUCAUUAAUCUAUCAAAAUACUUCAUAUUAGUGUUUUGGACAUUGGGAAUUAUUGCUGGCCUUGGUAUGUCAGCUUUCCUUAAAAAUAUCGAGUUUUCAAAGCCCUUCUUUCUCUGCUCAUUGGUGUGAUAAAUAUUAUCUAUGCCAAGGAAGCAAAGGCUUCAGCCAUGUUGACAAAUUGA